GUUUAUAUAGUUUAUUAUAAAACAUUACAUUUUCAUUGUAAAAAUUAAAAUUUUAUAUUUUUAUAAAUA
rnacentral:tRNA from 1 species